rnacentral:rRNA from 1 species
CACGGGGGGAGCAAGCGUUGUUCGGAAUCACUGGGCGUAAAGGGUUCGUAGGCGGUGUGGCAAGUCGGGAGUGAAAUUUCUGGGCUCAACUCAGAGACUGCUUCCGAAACUGCUGUGCUGGAGUGUGGGAGAGGCGCGUGGAAUUGCAGGUGUAGCGGUGAAAUGCGUAGAUAUCUGCAGGAACACCCGUGGCGAAAGCGGCGCGCUAGACCACUACUGACGCUGAGGAACGAAAGCUAGGGGAGCAAACAGG